rnacentral:lncRNA from 12 species
GCCAUACUGCCAAGAACACUGGGGCAUCCUAGAAAAAGUUGCCUUUGCAAUGGGUUGUGGAGAGUUCACAAAUGUAGGUAGUAGGUGUCAAAAGUGCAUUUUCCAAGUGUUUGUGCCGUCCGGGAUCCUGGGUAGGUGACUCUGGGAUCCUGGGUAGGUGACUCUGAUUUCUUUCCUUGAAAAAUAUCACUUCUGGGCACGUGGGGCUUGUUUUUCCCCUAAAAAAUGGAGAACGAGGGCAGCCUGGGUAGCUCAGCAGAUUAGUGCCCACUUCAGUCCAGGGCAUGAUCCUGGAGUCCUGGGAUCGUGUCCCACUUUGGAGUCCCUGCGUGGAGCCUGCUUCUCCCUCUGCCUGUGUCUCUGCCUCUCUCUCUCUCUGUGUGUCUCUCAUGAAUAAAAAAAUAAAAUCAUAGAAAAAAAAAAAAAAGGAGAAUGAGCCCAGAUGCACCUAAUGCAAGUUCCGCACAGAUUUUUCUUUUUAAUUAGGGUACGAUAUCUGCUGUUGGGGCCACAGUUCUGAGUAGCAGUAACAGGUAGUAACAUGAUGGUACCCAAAUACAUGAGAUCUGGCAAUUGGUGAAGAAAGUGAGUUUAGGGCACGUACAUGAGUGUGUGUGCACACGUUUGUGUUGUGCAUAUAUGUGAGAGGGUUAACGUAUUUUGGUUAUUAUCAUAAUGAUGAUGUGGUAAAUGGAAAGUGUAAAAGGGUUGAUUUUUUGGAGUUCCUUUCUCUCUCUCUCUCUCUCUGUCUCUCUGUCUUUCUGUGUCUCUUUCUUUUAUGCUACAGCGUGGAAUGGAGCAGGGGAUUUAGAAAGCCUCUGCUGAUUAAUCCAUCAUCUUCUGACAACUGAAUUCCCAGAAACAGAGUACCAGACUUUCGCACAAAGUGUCAUUUUGACUGGAAUCUUUCAAGUUCAAGGCUACCAAGUCCUCAGAGGAAGACUGCCCCAUAGCGGGGCCUCAAAUAGAGGUAGCUUCUAGUGUCGUUAUCCAUUAAGAAGCCAAGGAUUGCAGGGUCUGGCCAGCCAAUUCCAUGUCUCCAGACCUCCCCAACUGCCGUGUCAGAGAAUGUUUGGGGAGAAGCAAAGACUGAUGACAGCUGGACACUUACACUGAAGGCUGCACUGUGGUUUAUUGUGCGCUUUAAAUCACCUCGAAGACUGCACUACAUACCAUUGUGUCUGUUAGAAAAUCAUUAUGGGGCAAUUAGAAGCAAUGCUGUUUCACAGAUGAACAUGGAAUCUUCCUCUGAGUCUGACUGCUACGCACUUCCUCCGUGCCUCUUGUGAUUAUCUACAUUUGUGAUGGUCAAGGGAUACAGCUGUCGGGAAAGCACGCAACAGGUGGCAGUUGUGGGGUUGACGCCUCAUCCAUUCUUGGGUGCUCCCUGCCACCCGAGCUCGGGAUUUCCAUAAGUGCUGGGGUGCAACUGACUCCUUUUAAGCAACGUGUGUUUGGAAUGGUCAGUGACAAAAUUCAUCUUCCUCCAAAAAAUGAGAAGAAAUCG